rnacentral:pre_miRNA from 15 species
CGUCUUUCCUCAUGUGACUCGUGGACUUCCCUUUGUCAUCCUAUGCCUGAGAAUAUAUGAAGGAGGCUGGGAAGGCAAAGGGACGUUCAGUUGUCAUCACUGGC